rnacentral:rRNA from 1 species
UACGAAGGUCCCAAGCGUUAUCCGGAUUUAUUGGGUUUAAAGGGUGCGUAGGCGGACUAUUAAGUCAGUGGUGAAAGCCCCCAGCCUAACUGGGGAACUGCCAUUGAUACUGAUGGUCUUGAGUACAUUUGAGGUGGGCGGAAUGUGUCAUGUAGCGGUGAAAUGCUUAGAUAUGACACAGAACACCGAUUGCGAAGGCAGCUCACUAAACUGUAACUGACGCUGAGGCACGAAAGCGUGGGGAGCAAACAGG